GACGAACGCUGGCGGCGUGCUUAACACAUGCAAGUCGAACGGAAAGGCCCUGCUUUUGUGGGGUGCUCGAGUGGCGAACGGGUGAGUAACACGUGAGUAACCUGCCCUUGACUUUGGGAUAACUUCAGGAAACUGGGGCUAAUACCGGAUAGGAGCUCCUGCUGCAUGGUGGGGGUUGGAAAGUUUCGGCGGUUGGGGAUGGACUCGCGGCUUAUCAGCUUGUUGGUGGGGUAGUGGCUUACCAAGGCUUUGACGGGUAGCCGGCCUGAGAGGGUGACCGGCCACAUUGGGACUGAGAUACGGCCCAGACUCCUACGGGAGGCAGCAGUGGGGAAUAUUGCACAAUGGGCGGAAGCCUGAUGCAGCAACGCCGCGUGCGGGAUGACGGCCUUCGGGUUGUAAACCGCUUUCGCCUGUGACGAAGCGUGAGUGACGGUAAUGGGUAAAGAAGCACCGGCUAACUACGUGCCAGCAGCCGCGGUGAUACGUAGGGUGCGAGCGUUGUCCGGAUUUAUUGGGCGUAAAGGGCUCGUAGGUGGUUGAUCGCGUCGGAAGUGUAAUCUUGGGGCUUAACCCUGAGCGUGCUUUCGAUACGGGUUGACUUGAGGAAGGUAGGGGAGAAUGAAAUUCCUGGUGGAGCGGUGGAAUGCGCAGAUAUCAGGAGGAACACCAGUGGCGAAGGCGGUUCUCUGGGCCUUUCCUGACGCUGAGGAGCGAAAGCGUGGGGAGCGAACAGGCUUAGAUACCCUGGUAGUCCACGCUGUAAACGGUGGGUACUAGGUGUGGGGUCCAUUCCACGGGUUCCGUGCCGUAGCUAACGCUUUAAGUACCCCGCCUGGGGAGUACGGCCGCAAGGCUAAAACUCAAAGGAAUUGACGGGGCCCCGCACAAGCGGCGGAGCAUGCGGAUUAAUUCGAUGCAACGCGUAGAACCUUACCUGGGUUUGACAUGGAUCGGGAGCGCUCAGAGAUGGGUGUGCCUCUUUUGGGGUCGGUUCACAGGUGGUGCAUGGCUGUCGUCAGCUCGUGUCGUGAGAUGUUGGGUUAAGUCCCGCAACGAGCGCAACCCUUGUUCACUGUUGCCAGCACGUUAUGGUGGGGACUCAGUGGAGACCGCCGGGGUCAACUCGGAGGAAGGUGGGGAUGACGUCAAGUCAUCAUGCCCCUUAUGUCCAGGGCUUCACGCAUGCUACAAUGGCUGGUACAGAGAGUGGCGAGCCUGUGAGGGUGAGCGAAUCUCGGAAAGCCGGUCUCAGUUCGGAUUGGGGUCUGCAACUCGACCUCAUGAAGUCGGAGUCGCUAGUAAUCGCAGAUCAGCAACGCUGCGGUGAAUACGUUCCCGGGGCU
rnacentral:rRNA from 1 species